GUGGUGUCAGAGUUUGGGGACAGCUACUUUGAGGUCAGUGGCUGAGAUGCCUUGGUGGGAAGGAGGACAGAACUGGGGCUUUCCAGGCUGCAUAAUCACCCUGUCCCUGUCCCCAGGAGCUCCGGCAGCAGCUGGGGCACCGCCUGCAGCUGAACGACCUCCUCAUCAAACCUGUGCAGCGGAUCAUGAAAUACCAGCUGCUGCUCAAGGAUUUUCUCAAGUAUUACAAUAGAGCUGGGAUGGAUACUGCAGAGCUAGAGGUGAGGACCCCAGA
rnacentral:sRNA from 1 species